GACGAACGCUGGCGGCGUGCCUGAUACAUGCCAGUUGAGCGCUGAAGGUUGGUACUUGUACCAACUGGAUGAGCAGCGAACGGGUGAGUAACGCGUGGGGAAUCUGCCUUUGAGCGGGGGACAACAUUUGGAAACGAAUGCUAAUACCGCAUAAAAACUUUAAACACAAGUUUUAAGUUUGAAAGAUGCAAUUGCAUCACUCAAAGAUGAUCCCGCGUUGUAUUAGCUAGUUGGUGAGGUAAAGGCUCACCAAGGCGAUGAUACAUAGCCGACCUGAGAGGGUGAUCGGCCACAUUGGGACUGAGACACGGCCCAAACUCCUACGGGAGGCAGCAGUAGGGAAUCUUCGGCAAUGGACGAAAGUCUGACCGAGCAACGCCGCGUGAGUGAAGAAGGUUUUCGGAUCGUAAAACUCUGUUGGUAGAGAAGAACGUUGGUGAGAGUGGAAAGCUCAUCAAGUGACGGUAACUACCCAGAAAGGGACGGCUAACUACGUG
rnacentral:rRNA from 1 species